AAGGCUCAGUGGUAGAACAACUGCUUUGCAUGCUGAAGUUCCCUGGUUCAAUCCCAGCCAUCUCUA